UUUUUUUUUGGCUUCUAAAACCACUCAGAAAUAAUAUGAAAUAUUUUUUCUCACAUUUAUGCAUAGCUUAAAUUUUGGGCACAUUAUUUAUGUCUGACAGUCUAGAUUAAUAUCAACCAUUUCUUCUGUUUGCAAUCAACUCUAAUACUCUCCUAAAAUUAUAGAAAUCUAAAAAACACAAAAUCAAAGCUAUAACAAUUAAAUAUUUUAGUCAUAAUGAUGACAGUGAGUAGGUAGUAGUGAUCUCCAGAGUUUUUUAUUUUUGUAUAUAUAAAUCUGAAUAUAUAUUAUUUAUAUUCCCAAAUUAUUUUGUUUCUGUGAAAUUAAUUUGGGCUUGACAGUUUUUAAAAUCUUGCCUGUAUUUGGAUUUGUCUUUCUCUACUAUUACUCUUAUUUUAGAAAAUUAUGGAAAACUGAGUUUUAUCCUGGUGUAUCUCAUCCUCAACUAGCAGAUCCUUCCUUCUUUUUUUUUUUUUUUUUUUUCUUUUUCUUUUUGGCCAUCCAGGCUUUCUUUUUUAAAAAAAAAACGUUAUUGAGAUAUGACUUACAGAUCACAACUUUCACCCAUUUAAAGUAUCUAAUUAAAUGUGUUUAAGUGUAUUUACAUAGCUGUGCAGCCAUCACCAUAAUCUGAUUUCAAAACAAUUUCAUCAUCCCUAAAAGAAACCUUGUGCCCAAUAGCAGACACUUCCUAUUCUCUCUUCAUUCUUCCAUAGCCCUAGUCAGUCACUACCAUAUUUUCUGUCUAUAUAGACUUGCUUAUCCUGGACAUUUCAUAUUGAUAUAAUUAUUUAAUAUGUAGUGCUUAUGACUGGCUCUUCACUUAUACAUCACUCAUGAGGUUCAUCCAAUUGGUGUAUGUAUUAGAAUUUCAUUCAUUUGUUCCCGAAAAAUAUUUUAUAGUGUAGAUACAACAUAUUUUGUUUACCCAUACACCGGUUGAUAGACAUUUGAGUUGUUUGCAUGUCUUAGCUAUUAUGAAUGAUGUAGCUAUGAAUAUUCAUGUAGAAAUUUCUGCAUGCACUUUUUUUCUCUUGGGUACAUACCUAAUUGUAGAAUUGCUCAGUAACAUGGUAACUCUAUACUGAACCUAUUGAGGAACUCCCAAAUGGUUUUUCCAAAGGAAUUCACCAUUUUACAUUCCCACCAGCAUUCACUCCUCCAUAUUCUUUUAUUUGUAAAGACUUCAUUUAUUUAUUUGAGAGAGAGAAAGAAAACACACAUGAGUGGGGUAGGAGGAGUGGAGGGAAAGAAACAAGCCCACCCUCUGCUAAGCAGGGGGCAGGUAUGGGGCUUGAUCCCAGGACUCUGGAAUCAUGACCUGAGCUGAAGGCAGAUGCUUAACUGACUGAGCCACCCAGGUGCCCAAUUCCUCCAUAUUCUUGACAACUUUUUCAUUGUGUGUUUAUUAUAGCCAUCCCAGUAGAUGUGAAGUAACAUUUCAUUUAGUUUCAAUUUGCAUUUCUGUAAUGACUAAUGAUGUUGGGCAUCUUUGCAUGUGAUUAUUAGCUAUUUGAUAUCUUGUUUGGAGAAACACAUAUUCAAAUCUCUUGCCCAUUUAUGAAGUGGGUUAUUUUCAUUUGCAUUAUUGAAUAGAAAGGGUUCUGUUUUUUUCUGGAUAUAAAUCCCACAUCAAAUAUAUAAUUUGCAAAUAUUUUUUCCCAUUCUGUGGGUUAUUUUUUCAGUUUGUUCAUGGGGCUACUUGCAGCAGGACUUUUCAUUUUGAUAAUGUUCAAUUUGUCUACUUUUUUUCUUUUGUUGUCAUGCUUUAGGUGUUGUACUUAAUAAACCAUUGUCUAACCCCAAAUCAUAAUUGAUUCCUAAUACAUUUUCUUCCAAGGACUUUAGAGUUUUAGUUUUUACAUUUAGAUCUGUAAUGUAUUUCAAAAUCAUUGUUGCGUAUGGAGUAAGUAAUGGAUUUAACUUUGUUCUUUUGCGUGUGGUCAUCUAAUUGUUCCAACACCAUUUGUUGAAGAGACUACUCUUUCUCCCAUUGAAUUGUUCUGGGCAACUUGUCAAAAAUUAAUUGACCAUAAAUGUGAAGGUUUAUUUUUGGACCCUUAUUGAUCUGCAUUUUCUAUCUUUAUGGCAGUACCACACCACCUUGAGACUCUUUCAACUUUUAAUAACCAUUUUUCUCACAAGAGAAAUGUGUGAGUGCAUGUGAGAGAGAGAAAAUGAGGAAGCACCUUAUUAAAGCCUUUAAGAGGGGGCAAGGAAAGCUUUGUUCCUCUUGAGAAAGAAUUUCCCUAGAAGCUCUGAUAUGUCAAGAAUAUUUGGAAAACAACAUACACCAUGCCCCCUGCUGGGGCUAGAGUAAGGACUAAACAAUGCACAUUAGCCUAAUAAAAUGUUCUGAGAAGUGUUUGGCUUCAUUCAGCCAGAGUUUUCUAAAUUUUGUUGGUCAAGAAAAAUUUUGCUUUCUUUUUUUACAUAUAACAUGUAAUAAUAACCCGUAAACAAAUCUGGGAAAAUUCUGAUAUAACCCAUGCAGAGUGAGGAUCUAGUAAAACAAAGGCAGAAUCAAUACAUCUGGCUUUGAAAGGUUUGACCUCUAGUGGCUAGAACUUAAUGUGUUAUUUAAUGGUGCACACUUGGAUAUGAACACUGAAGAAAUUAUUUUUGCAUGGAGUUCUAGGUAGCAGACAUUGUGGGAAUCAUCUUUGCUUUUUUUUCCCUUCUAUUGUAUCUCUAAAUCUCUUCCAGAAAACUUUUCUUUAUUAAAGCCAGCUUACUAGGAAUCUAUUUUCCUAGUACCUACUAUGUACUACUAGGUAUGAUGCUUUGUGUAUCUGCUCUUUACAAUAACCCAAUAAUGUAGGUGUUAUCUCUAUUUUACAAAGGAGGGCAUGGAGACUCUAAGUAAAUUUCCCCCCAAGUUGCAGUUAGAAACUGUUAGAUUUAGUUUUGUUAGAUUCCAAAGUUUAUAUUAAGAACAACAGCAAAAAAGGAAUUAGUUUUUUCAGACAGUAGACGAGCGACUGGUUUUCUAUCACUACAGAGCACCUUGAACUCAAAAGCAAGGAAGAAAGUAUUAUUGCUCUCAUCACCAAGGGAAUAUAUGAAUGAGUUAAUUCCAGGGACAACAUCACUCACUCUGCCAUACUCAAUCUACAAUUGCUACCAAUAUAAACAGCUUCCACUCUCCCCUCUCUCCUUACCCAGAUCCUGCAGUUAUUCCUGUGGUCAUUUCCUCAAGGACAUCUUCCCUGACCUCUGAGCACCCUAUACUUACCUUUACCUUAGCACGAUUAUAAUUCAAUUAUUAAUUAUAUUCUGCAUCUCCUCAAUUGAAAUAUCACCUCUUUAAUUUGUCUUGUUCAUUGCUGUGACCUCAACAUAUAGGGUGUUCACUGCCUCCAGAGAAGUUGAAACGUACUGUAGCAAUGUGGAGUGAUAGACAUAUUAACUUACCUUAUAGUGGUAACCAUAUUGUAGUAUACACAGAUAUCAAACCACUACAUCAUGUAUCUUAAACUUAUAUGGUGUUAUAUGCCAAUUAUAUCCAAUGAAGCUGGGAGCUAAAAAGAGAAGCUGAAGUGUUUUUUGUUGGAUGAAUGGAGGUAUUCAUUUGAAUUACACCAUCUGCCAUUAUACAGAGUUUUAUUUAUAGCCCCUUUUGAUUUACUAUAUUUGUAGUGGAAAGUGAACAUAAUCCUAAAAGGCAAUAAUUAUUUGAGCAUAUUUAUAGUUUUAUCAAACUUGACUGUGGAUCUGUAUCUCUCCCACCUCACUCUGCUCCCCCCUCUCUCUCUCCUUUUCUAUUUUUUUUAUCUCCCUAUCUACCUACUCCUCCUUCUUAUAGUUCAGUUGUAUUACUGAAAACUUGAAAGCUAGCUGGGCAAAGGAAAAGAGGGAAUGCCAUAUUAAUUCUAAAAGUAGAUUAAUCCACUCUGUAAAUAGUUGAGCCAUAAUAUGUACUAUAUGUUCAAAAUUCAGAGUUCACUGAAAAUUUGCUCUGGCCUAAGUAGUCAUAAUAAAGAUAUAUUUUGUGUAAUUGUGUAGAUAAUACAAGAAAGUGUCUCUUCUGCACUCUACCUCUGACCCCCCUUUCAAGUCUCCACUCUAGGCAGGAGAAAAGAAAAGACAAAGACGGAAGAGGCAAUAGGAUCUGAUAUCAUGUCACUGUUGUGUAUAAAAGUGCGUCUGAGUAUAAGGUAUGGGUUUUAUUGUCCACAAAGGCUCAACUUGAGUUUUGAGGUUGAGUUCUGUAUAUUUGAACAUGCCAUGUAUGGAUGAGCAUGACUUCUUUUUUAGACCAGCUCAACAUCGCUUAAUGUGAACCUUAAAUCAAGUCUUGUGGUUCAGGUUGGUUAUUUGCAGUAUAUUACAGACCUGCAUUGAUUAAUUUCGUAUCUAGGGCUCAGAGUCGACCAGUUCAAUCUUACAAACACUGUAUAACAUGACUACUGCAGCCAGACUUAAAACAUGCAAUCUUCUUUUCAAUUCUAAUUUUAAUAUUUUGUAAUAGGCUAUAUGCAUCUCAUUUGUAUUUAUAAAUGAGAUCCGUGUGAGUUGGAAAUGAAACUGCAAGCACAUGUUAAUCAUAUAUGCAGGACUCUAGCAUUGGGCAUAAAUAUAUACCCACCUA
rnacentral:lncRNA from 1 species